UACGUAGGUGACCAGCGUUGUCCGGAUUUACUGGGCGUAAAGAGCGCGCAGGCGGUCGUUCAAGUCGAGUGUGAAAGCCCCCGGCUCAACUGGGGAGGGUCACUCGAUACUGAUCGACUUGAAGGCAGGAGAGGGAAGCGGAAUUCCCGGUGUAGUGGUGAAAUGCGUAGAUAUCGGAAGGAACAUCAGUGGCGAAAGCGACUCCUGGACCAAUACUGACGCUCAUGUGCGAAAGCGUGGGGAGCCAAACAGG
rnacentral:rRNA from 1 species